CAAGAACAAACACACCUGAGAGACACGAGAGGACACGGAUCUGCUCCGCAACCAACGGCUGUAACAGGAGACUGUGCCGCUCAGAUCUGAUCGUUCCCUAAUUCAGAAACUCGGCCGUUAGUGAAGCGAGAGCCGCCGAAGUGCAUUGUGGGAGUGUAAAGGCCGCGUGACAAACUGACCAACGGGAUGCCAGGAAUGAGUGCGCAGGCAACCAGCACGCAUUUCGGUCUAAAUGGCGAGAAGCAGCACAGCAGUCCUCAGUCCGAGGACGAGCCCACGACCCCGAAAGUCCGUCCCAACCCCAAGUACCAGCUCUAUCUGGGCUCCAACGGCACCAGCGGCUCCAACGGGGCCAACGGGACUCUGCUGAGGUUCAGUCCUGUGAUCCGGGGGUCCAUGGAGUCGCUGUCGUCCCGGGACGGGGACAGCAUGUCCGACAGAGUGAGUGUGUGGCUGCUUAUAGAAACCAGGAUUAGUAGGCUAUAGCUAACUAGAAUUAAUAUUAGGGCUGUCAAAAUGCCUGAAAAACUAAAUUCGAAUUUUGUACUGAAAUAUUAGCAAAAUUCGAAUUAUAUUAGAAUUUGAAAUGCAUAAUUUCAGUUAGGGUGAAGAAAAGCUUUUGGCUUCUCUCCUGAGGCCACAAGAGGGCGCAUCAUUCAAAGCAUACGAUAACAUGACUAUCUGUGAAAAAAGUGCAUAUGUUUAAAAUAAUGUUUAUAAACCAAUUAUAAUUAAGUUGCUUAAACAACUAUAAACAAAACAGCAUCAUGUAUGUAUGCAGAGUUUAAUACAAAGGGCCGAAAGCCAGUCACACAGAGUAUAUUUUUCAUUUAAAAACACAAGUUGGGAUGGAAAACAACCCUGCCAUAAAGUCUCGAGAUAUGUUUUUUUUUUUUCCAAAGUUGAACUUGCAUUAAUUUUACAUGGCUUUCUAAACAUGCGGUUCCUUUGUGCAAGAUGUGAGUGCAAUGGUGAUAGAUGUCCCUCUAGAAAAUGUGAUAAAUAUGCGUUCUGUGUGAAUGGCUUGGUUUCAGUUUUGAUGUAAACAAGAUCUUCUCCACAUUGAUGUUCUCUUUUCCCGCAAUAUCUGUAGUUAACAACGCAGCAGCGCCGCAUCCAGUGUCUUCAACUGGAGAGGUUAACAAAAGCAUUAUAAUGCACACCGUCAUCGCAUCUCGUGCACCGCUGAUAAAGCUGCCUUCUUAACGCACAGCUAAAAUUCGAAUGCAAAAACGUUGUGGAUUUUUAUUUUAAAUUCGACGAAUAUUCCAAAUACGAAUUUUUUUUGACAGCCCUAAUUAAUAGCACAAAUGUUGUUAGUUGAAAUGAAAUAAGUUAAUUGAAAUACAAAAACUUAAAUGCGUUUUAUUUAACUUCGACUAGAGCUAAAACUGAAAUAAAAAUAGACAUACUUUAAAAAAACGAUAG
rnacentral:lncRNA from 1 species